rnacentral:rRNA from 1 species
UGGGGAAUUUUGGACAAUGGGCGAAAGCCUGAUCCAGCAAUGCCGCGUGUGUGAAGAAGGCCUUCGGGUUGUAAAGCACUUUUGUCCGGAAAGAAAUCCUUGGCUCUAAUACAGUCGGGGGGUGACGGUACCGGAAGAAUAAGCACCGGCUAACUACGUGCCAGCAGCCGCGGUAAUACGUAGGGUGCAAGCGUUAAUCGGAAUUACUGGGCGUAAAGCGUGCGCAGGCGGUUUGCUAAGACCGAUGUGAAAUCCCCGGGCUCAACCUGGGAACUGCAUGGUGACUGGCAGGCUAGAGUAUGGCAGAGGGGGGUAGAAUUCCACGUGUAGCAGUGAAAUGCGUAGAGAUGUGGAGGAAUACCGAUGGCGAAGGCAGCCCCCUGGGCCAAUACUGACGCUCAUGCACGAAAGCGUGGGGAGCAAACAGGAUUAGAUACCCUGGUAGUCCAGCGCCCUAAACGAUGUCAACUAGUUGUUGGGGAUUCAUUUCCUUAGUAACGUAGCUAACGCGUGAAGUUGACCGCCUGGGGAGUACGUCGCAAGAUUAAAACUCAAAGGAAUUG